AUACCCUCUUAAAUACCGUAU
rnacentral:siRNA from 1 species